UACGUAGGGUGCAAGCGUUGUCCGGAAUUAUUGAGCGUAAAGAGCUCGUAGGCGGUCUGUCGCGUCGGCUGUGAAAACCCGAGGCUCAACCUCGGGCCUGCAGUCGAUACGGGCAAACUAGAGUACUGCAGGGGAGACUGGAAUUCCUGGUGUAGCGGUGAAAUGCGCAGAUAUCAGGAGGAACACCGGUGGCGAAGGCGGGUCUCUGGGCAGUAACUGACGCUGAGGAGCGAAAGCGUGGGGAGCGAACAGG
rnacentral:rRNA from 1 species